rnacentral:tRNA from 1 species
AAGCGUUAACUUAAGUUUUAAAGUGUUGAAUUUUUAAUUCAGAAAUGGGGUUCCACGUUUUA